rnacentral:rRNA from 1 species
GAUGAACGCUAGCGGCAGGCCUAAUACAUGCAAGUCGGACGGGAUUGAGAAGCUUGCUUUUCAUGAGAGUGGCGCACGGGUGCGUAACACGUAUGUAACCUACCUUAAACAGGGGGAUAGCCUCUCGAAAGAGAGAUUAACACCGCAUAAAAUCAAUUUAUGGCAUCAUAGAAUGAUCAAAUAUUUAUAGGAUUAAGAUGGGCAUGCGGAACAUUAGCUAGUUGGUAAGGUAACGGGUUACCAAGGCUACGAUGUUUAGGGGAUCUGAGAGGAUGACCCCCCACACUGGUACUGAGACACGGACCAGACUCCUACGGGAGGCAGCAGUAAGGAAUAUUGGUCAAUGGGCGCAAGCCUGAACCAGCCAUGCCGCGUGCAGGAAGACGGCCCUACGGGUUGUAAACUGCUUUUGUACCGGAAUAAACCUUUGUAUGUAUACGAAGCUGAAUGUACGGUAAGAAUAAGGAUCGGCUAACUCCGUGCCAGCAGCCGCCGUAA